rnacentral:sRNA from 1 species
GCUGGGUAUGGUGGUGCAUGCCUGUAAUCCCAGCAGCUCCGGAGGCUGAGUCUGGAGGAUUGCAAGUUCAAAGUCAGCCUCAGCAACUUGGCAAGGCUCCAAGUCACUUAGUGAGAUCCUGUCUCAA